rnacentral:rRNA from 1 species
CAAUAGCAUAUAUUAAAGUUGUUGCAGUUAAAAAGCUCGUAGUUGGAUUUCUGGCAUGAUGCGCCUGGCCCGCCUCAAUUCUGAGUGUGUGUGCGAGUGCGCGUCUGCCAUCCAUUUGCAGAAUGUGCCUACUCUUCAUUGAGCCGGGUACGUGAUGUAAAUCUUUUACUUUGAAAAAUUAGAGUGUUUAAAGCAGGCAUUUGCUAUGAAUACAUUAGCAUGGAAUAAUAAUCUAGGACUUCGGUUCUAUUUUGUUGGUUUCUAGAUCUGAAGUAAUGAUUGAUAGGGAUAGUUGGGGGUGGCUAGUAUUAAGGGGCCGAGAGGUGAAAUUCUCCGAUUUGUUAAAGACUAACUUAUGCGAAAGCAUUUGCCAAGGAUGUUUUCUAUUAAUCAAGAACGAAAGUUAAGGGG